AAUUUUGGACAAUGGGGGCAAGCCUGAUCCAGCAAUCCCGCGUGAGCGAUGAAGGCCUUCGGGUGGUAAAGCACUUUUGGCAGGGAGGAAAAGGCUCUGGCUAAUACCUGGAGCUGAUGACGGUACCUGCAGAAUAAGCACAGGCUAACUACGUGCCAGCAGCCGCGGUAAUACGUAGGGUGCAAGCGUUAAUCGGAAUUACUGGGCGUAAAGCGUGCGCCAGCGGUUCGGCAAGGAGGAUGUGAAAUCCCAGGGCUUAACCUUGGAACUGCAUUCUUAACUGCCGGGCUAGAGUAUGUCAGGGGGGGGUAGAAUUCCGCGUGUAGCAGUGAAAUGCGUAGAGAUGCGGAGGAAUACCGAUGGCGAAGGCAGCCACCUGGGAUAAUACUGACGCUCAUGCACGAAAGCGUGGGGAGCAAAC
rnacentral:rRNA from 1 species